rnacentral:lncRNA from 1 species
AUCAGAACAGUUUUUGGAACUUUUCCCUCUGCCAUGGAACCUGGUGAAUGGUUUGUGUUUUUCCAAAAUUACUUGAAAUUUAGCUGCUAGGAGGCUGUGCCGACCGUUCCAAUUUUUCUUUCAAUUUUGCAUUUUAUUGGAUGCUUCCCUCAAGUCUUCCAGCAUAGUUCAGUCAUUAGUCAGAGCUGGAAGAUUUAUUAUUUACUUUGACAGUCACCAGCCUAUUUUGUCAAACCAUACACAUUACUGCUCCAUUUGACAGGUGUUACUCUUAAAAUCCUUCAGUUUAUUUUCCCCCUUUGUGUGAGGCUUCUAUGUCUACUGUCUUGUUUACUUUCCCAAAGGAAGCACAAUAUGUUUUCUGGUUGAUAAAAGCUUGGUUUUGUUGCUACUUUUCAGUGACAGAUUAAGCAGCCAUUGGUCAAAAACUUUUUUCUUGAUUUAAUCUAAAUUUUGGUGACGUGCUUACACUAGGAACCAUUAGGAAAUAAAAUAAAACAAAAGAAAGAAUAGUGAAUUCAGUGUAAGUAGAGGCAGAAAAACAUUGCCAUUUUACCUGCAAUGUACAUAUUGCAGGGUAUAUCAA